ensembl:lncRNA
CAAUGACUUAGGUUAGUUGAAAUGUGGUGAAUAACAAAGAAGAGUCAGGUAAAUCACAAAAGGUCAUCUUCCUGCUAUGAGACGUUAACGGACACCACACACCGAGUUGACACGUUCCAGAGCAGUAAACGUGAGUGAUGCAGAACAGAGGAGAGAAGUUCGUUUGACGUCUACCGGACUUACUCGUCAGAUUGCACUUUCACAAACUUCCCAGCCACCCCCACGGCCUCGCCUGACAGACAGCUGGGCACGGUCCGCCACUCCGCCCUCUGCCGCUCAGUCUCUCCAGCCCUUGCCCGAGGAAGUCCCCUGAGCUCCGCAAGUUGCUUCUAGUUUCUAAAGGAUAAUUUUCAGUCCUCAAGAGACGAAGAUCAGAGCGUCUUACAAGUACAGAAAUGCGCGUAGAACCUAUCGAGAAAUUUCUUGCAAUAAAAUGUCUCAGGAACCUGCCUAAGAUUUCCCUGCCUGGUGCUUGUAAAGCAACUGGGGCUCUGGGAGUAGCAUUUGCCUGGCUAUGAGUUACAGCGUUUAGAUGUUGUUGAUUCAAAGAAUGGGAAAGUGUACAAAGAAGAAUGGCAACUCAAUCAAGAAAAUAUCCUGAAGGAAAGGAUGGGUUUAAGGUUACUUUUACCUAAUCUAGAAACAUAAGGACCCAAAAACCGGUGGGUUUCCGUAGUGUAGUGGUUAUCACGUUCGCCUAACACGCGAAAGGUCCCCGGUUCGAAACCGGGCGGAAACAAGCAGUACCUUUUCCCGAGAAGUCUGAAUUUUGGUCCAGAAAUGUCCACUCUGAAUUUCUAUACCUUUGCACCAACUCUCAAGUCCUCGCGCUUCCUUUGCCGCCCUGGACUUUCAAUUGCAAGAAUUAUGUAACAAGACCAGAGCUGAGACUUGCUUCCUCGCCCCCCUUAACAAGUAAUCAUGUCCUAUCCAUUCCAUUGGUCAGAGAAGAUACUGCGCUUGGCUGCGGUGGCUAACCAUCCUAGGAGGAGCGCUUCCUAUCUCUUAUGGACAGGAACAGAGAAUGAAUCUCCCUGACACAAAAGUGUGGUUGAUGAAUGCAAAGAGGAUCAGGAGCCAACUGUAACUGCAGGAGAAAGAGCUGAGUGGAGAGUGGUUCCUGGAGUCAGAGAGGAAACACACUGGAAGGGAGAGAUCAAGUGGAGCCUGGUUAUUUCUUUCAGGACUUUGGCCUUUAUUCUGAUAAAAUGAGGAGAUCUUGGAUUUUAAGCAGGGAAGUAGCUUUACAUGACUUGAGUGUUUCUGCCAGCUCUAUGGAGAAUAUUUUUCAGAGAGAAAACAAUGGAAGCAAGGAGAUCUAUUAAGUCCCUCUCGUCGUGCUGCAUAUCAGAAAUCACUGUGGUCUGGACAGGAUGGUGGCGGUCCAGUUGAUGAGAAGUAGUCACAGUGUAGAUAUAUUUUAAAGACAGAGUCAAGAGACAUUCCUGAGAAAAUGGGUAUGAGGAGUGACAGAAAGUAGAAUCAAUGAUGACUUUGAUGUAUUUUGCUGAAAACCUGGAAGGAUGGAGUUGCUAUUAACUGAAAUGGGGAAGCUUGGAUGCAGCACUAAUAUUAGGGGACAUUGGGAGUUCUGUUUUAGACAUGCUUUUAGAUGCCUAGUAUAAAACCCUCAAGUGUAAUGCUAAGGAAUGAGUUGAAUCUACAAGCCUGUAGUUUAAUGGAAUGGUCUAGAUUACAGAUACAAAUUAGUGAGUUGUAGUCACAUAGGCAUUAUUUAAGCUACAAGAACUAAUAAAAUCACCAGGUAGAGACUGUAUAUAAAGAAGAAGUCUGAGGACCAAGCCUUGAGACAUUCCAUUAUAAAAAAAGGUUGCAUGAGAAGAGGGGAAACAAAGGAUAUUGAGAAGGAGAAGCCAGCGAGGUAGAAAGACAAUCAGGACAGCAGUGUCUUGAAAGUCAAAUGAAGAAAAGGUUUUAAGAAUAAUAAUGUGCCUAUGGCCCUGAGAAAUCAAGGACUUGGAAAUGGUCAUUAAUUUUAGACAUUUAGAGGUCAUUGGUGAUCUAGACCAGAAGCUUCCAUGAAGUGAUGGCGCCAAACAACCUCAGUGUACUGGGUUUGAAGAAGAAUGGGAAAAGAGAAACUGCAGAUAGCAAAUCUGUGUAGUUCUUUAGAGAUCUUGUGUGACGUCAUCUGAGAAAUAGGGCAGCAAGAUGAAAAUGUUGGGGCAGAGAAACAUUUUUAAGAUAGCAGUCAAAUAGUAUAUUUGAAUGAUCAUCAGAAUAAUACAAUAGUCAGGAGAAGAUUGUUUUAGUCAAUGCACAUAAAAUUCUCUUUAAGUCAUUAGUAUUCCACUGAUAGGAAUGCAAGAAAAUUCCUUUCCCUGAGGAGACUAAAGAAUUUUCCAAGGUUUAUGGUAGCAAAUGUCACAAAUAGAUUUUAAUUCCAUGUUUCUCUUUGCUGUUAUGUUUCCCUUUCAGGACAAAGUUACAUGAAGACUGGUUCCAAAACUAUGCUAAAGUUUAAAAUGGUGGAAGAAAUCAUUAGGUGUCCACUACGGAGUUCAAGAUAUGGAAAGAAGAGAAUGGAGAUGGAGAAGUAAACACCACGUGCGUCCUUCUGUGAAAUUUUGGAAAAGGGAAAUAUGCCUUUCCUGCUGUGUUGACCCAACAUCUCUGGAGGGUCAGAUCUAAGGUGAUGUUUGCUCCUCUCUCCCACCAUCGCUUCAAGCAUGUGUCCUUUUUGCUUUAGACAAAGAACUCAAUCACUCAUUCAUUCAAUAAAUAUUUACUGAAUCUAUACUAUGUACCAUAUACUGCAUUAGUCACUGGGAUAACAGCUGUAACAAAAUAGACAGAAAUCUCUUUCCUUUCCAGUGACAGGGUAACAGAGAUAUUUUAAAAGCAAAGUUGCAUAUAAAAUGCUAGAUGCUGUGAAAAUAAAUGCUAAGGAGAGCAAUUAAUCAGAGAAAGACAUUAGGAGUGAGUUUCUAUUUUCAAUUUCUAAGUGGAAUAUUGCUGAAUUUGAGCAAAAAUCUGAAGGACGAAAAUGAAUGAACCAUGAGAAUAUCCAGGUAAAAUCAUUCCAGACAUAGGAUAUAGUGCCCACAAAGACUUUACCUUGUGUAUUUGAGGAAUAGAAAUGAGGUUAAUUCUGCUAGAGUAAAUUGAAUGAUAUUUUAAUGUACACAUCAGUUAUCUAUUGCCACAACUAUACUGCUUAAUAAACGA